rnacentral:rRNA from 1 species
AUGAACGCUAGCUACAGGCUUAACACAUGCAAGUCGAGGGGCAGCAUGGUCUUAGCUUGCUAAGACUGAUGGCGACCGGCGCACGGGUGAGUAACACGUAUCCAACCUGCCGUCUACUCUUGGACAGCCUUCUGAAAGGAAGAUUAAUACAAGAUGGCAUCAUGAGUCCGCAUGUUCACAUGAUUAAAGGUAUUCCGGUAGACGAUGGGGAUGCGUUCCAUUAGAUAGUAGGCGGGGUAACGGCCCACCUAGUCUUCGAUGGAUAGGGGUUCUGAGAGGAAGGUCCCCCACAUUGGAACUGAGACACGGUCCAAACUCCUACGGGAGGCAGCAGUGAGGAAUAUUGGUCAAUGGGCGAGAGCCUGAACCAGCCAAGUAGCGUGAAGGAUGACUGCCCUAUGGGUUGUAAACUUCUUUUAUAAAGGAAUAAAGUCGGGUAUGGAUACCCGUUUGCAUGUACUUUAUGAAUAAGGAUCGGCUAACUCCGUGCCAGCAGCCGCGGUAAUACGGAGGAUCCGAGCGUUAUCCGGAUUUAUUGGGUUUAAAGGGAGCGUAGAUGGAUGUUUAAGUCAGUUGUGAAAGUUUGCGGCUCAACCGUAAAAUUGCAGUUGAUACUGGAUAUCUUGAGUGCAGUUGAGGCAGGCGGAAUUCGUGGUGUAGCGGUGAAAUGCUUAGAUAUCACGAAGAACUCCGAUUGCGAAGGCAGCCUGCUAAGCUGCAACUGACAUUGAGGCUCGAAAGUGUGGGUAUCAAACAGGAUUAGAUACCCUGGUAGUCCACACGGUAAACGAUGAAUACUCGCUGUUUGCGAUAUACUGCAAGCGGCCAAGCGAAAGCGUUAAGUAUUCCACCUGGGGAGUACGCCGGCAACGGUGAAACUCAAAGGAAUUGACGGGGGCCCGCACAAGCGGAGGAACAUGUGGUUUAAUUCGAUGAUACGCGAGGAACCUUACCCGGGCUUAAAUUGCAGAUGAAUUACGGUGAAAGCCGUAAGCCGCAAGGCAUCUGUGAAGGUGCUGCAUGGUUGUCGUCAGCUCGUGUCGUGAGAUGUUGGGUUAAGUCCCGCAACGAGCGCAACCCCUAUCUUCAGUAGCCAGCAGGUAAGGCUGGGCACUCUGGAGAGACUGCCAGGGAUAACCUGGAGGAAGGUGGGGAUGACGUCAAAUCAGCACGGCCCUUACGUCCGGGGCUACACACGUGUUACAAUGGGGGGUACAGAAGGCCGCUACCACGCGAGUGGAUGCCAAUCCCCAAAACCUCUCUCAGUUCGGACUGGAGUCUGCAACCCGACUCCACGAAGCUGGAUUCGCUAGUAAUCGCGCAUCAGCCACGGCGCGGUGAAUACGUUCCCGGGCCUUGUACACACCGCCCGUCAAGCCAUGGGAGCCGGGGGUACCUGAAGUGCGUAACCGCGAGGAGCGCCCUAGGGUAAAACUGGUGACUGGGGCU